CCUACGGGAGGCAGCAGUGAGGAAUAUUGGUCAAUGGGCGAGAGCCUGAACCAGCCAAGUCGCGUGAAGGAUGAAGGCACUACGGGUUGUAAACUUCUUUUGUCAGGGAGCAAUUGAGUCCACGUGUGGUCUUAGCGGGAGUACCUGAAGAAAAGGAAUCGGCUAACUCCGUGCCAGCAGCCGCGUUAAUCCGGAGGAUGCGAGCGUUAUCCGGAUUUAUUGGGUUUAAGGGGUGCGUAGGCGGAAUAUCAAGUCAGCGGUAAAAAUUCGGGGCUCAACCCCGUCGUGCCGUUGAAACUGAUGUGCUUGAGUGGGAGAGAAGUAUGCGGAAUGCGUGGUGUAGCGGUGAAAUGCAUAGAUAUCACGCAGAACCCCGAUUGCGAAGGCAGCCUUCCGGCGCCCCACUGACGCUGAGGCACGAAAGUGCGGGUAUCGAACAGGAUUAGAUACCCCAGUAGUC
rnacentral:rRNA from 1 species